UCCAUAUUAUGACAAGAACAGCUCAAAUAAGCAAAGAGAAACGACAGUCCAUCAUUACUUUAAGACAUGAAGGUCAGUCCAUCAUUACUUUAAGACAUGAAGGUCAGUCAAUACAACAGUCCAUCAUUACUUUAAGACAUGAAGGUCAGUCAAUACAACAGUCCAUCAUUACUUUAAGACAUGAAGGUCAGUCCAUCAUUACUUUAAGACAUGAAGGUCAGUCAAUACAACAGUCCAUCAUUACUUUAAGACAUGAAGGUCAGUCCAUCAUUACUUUAAGACAUGAAGGUCAGUCAAUACAACAGUCCAUCAUUACUUUAAGACAUGAAGGUCAGUCAAUACAACAGUCCAUCAUUACUUUAAGACAUGAAGGUCAGUCAAUACAACAGUCCAUCAUUACUUUAAGACAGGAAGGUCAGUCAAUACAACAGUCCAUCAUUACUUUAAGACAUGAAGGUCAGUCCAUCAUUACUUUAAGACAUGAAGGUCAGUCAAUACAACAGUCCAUCAUUACUUUAAGACAUGAAGGUCAGUCAAUACAACAGUCCAUCAUUACUUUAAGACAUGAAGGUCAGUCCAUCAUUACUUUAAGACAUGAAGGUCAGUCAAUACAACAGUCCAUCAUUACUUUAAGACAUGAAGGUCAGUCAAUACAACAGUCCAUCAGUAC